rnacentral:tRNA from 1 species
GCCCCUAUAGCUCAAUGGAUAGAGCAGCGCUCUUCUAAGGCGUUGAUCUGGGUUCGACUCCUAGUGGGGGCACAA